rnacentral:rRNA from 1 species
AACGAACGCUGGCGGCAUGCCUAACACAUGCAAGUCGAACGAGACCUUCGGGUCUAGUGGCGCACGGGUGCGUAACGCGUGGGAACCUGCCCUUAGGUUCGGAAUAACUCCCCGAAAGGGGUGCUAAUACCGGAUAAUGUCUUCGGACCAAAGAUUUAUCGCCUUUGGAUGGGCCCGCGUUGGAUUAGCUAGUUGGUAGGGUAAAAGCCUACCAAGGCGACGAUCCAUAGCUGGUCUGAGAGGAUGAUCAGCCACACUGGGACUGAGACACGGCCCAGACCCCUCGGGGAGGCGGCGGUGGGAAGUAUUGAACAAGGGGCGAAGGCGUAACCCAGCAAGGCCGCGUGAGUGAUGAGGGCCUUGGGGUUGAAAAGCUCUUUUACCCGGGAGAAUAAGGACAGUCCCGGGAGAAUAAGCUCCGGCUAACUCCGUG